CUAACUUUUAGUCUAUAAAUUCAGUUUUUGUUGUAAUUAUUAAUUGUGGAUCUCAGUAAGAUUCUUUCAAUUCCUGUUUCAUUAAAUAAUUUUCUUGUCUUUUUGUCAUAUGGUAUCAGAACCAAGUUUAAAGUCCUUGUUUUAUUCACUCUUCUCGUCUAUCAAGUGUUGUCUUUUUGGAGAAAGGUGGACUCUGUUGCAAGAAAAUUCUUUAGUUUGAAACAUGGAAUUCUUUAGUGGAGGAAAUGGUUCUAAUACACAAAAUGGUGUUGAGAAACUAGUUGGCACAAACGACAAGUACUGGAGAAUGUGUAUGGAAGCUUACCUUCAAGGCCAAGAUCCGUGGGAAUUGGUUGUUGGUACUGAUUCAACAAUUCCAGAUGACACUCUUGAUAAUGCUGAACCACGACGGAAGUGGAAGAUCAGGUGUGGCAAAGCAAAGAGCUCAUUGAUGGUGUUCGUGAUGUUAAUUCUCCAAUUCAAGUUUGGGAAACUCUUGAGAGGUUGUUUUCUAAGAAGAAUACAGCAAGGUUGCAAUUUUUGGAGAAUGAAUUGGCAAUGACAAUACAAGGAAGUAUGUCAAUUUCAGAAUAUUUUUUACGAAUUAAAAGUAUUUGAGCUGAAAUUUUAGAACUAGAUGUUGAUGAGAAGAUCAGUGAAGCACGAUUACGGCGAUUCCUUAUUCACGGCAUAAAUAAAGAAUAUUCUCCUUUUGUUACCUCCAUCCAAGGAAGGGCCACUCAACCAUCAGUUGAGGAGUUAGAGAAUUUGCUCUCCAAUCAAGAGUCAUUGGCGAAGCAAAUGGCCAGCAAAUUCAAUUUUGAAUCAAAUGCUGCUUUUUUAUCAAAAGGAAAGUCUAAACAGAAGGAUAAUGAUGGCAGUCCACAAAGAAACAACUUGACCAAGUGCUAUAGAUGCGGGAAAAUUGGACAUAUAAAGAAAUAUUGUCGUGUGAAGCUUUCCAAAGCAAACAUUGCAAUUGAAUAUGAAGAAGAUGAUCAACUCAAGUGGGAGCACUGUUUUGCUACUAAAACAAUUGAAAGAGAGGAUGGUGCUCUUAAUGAUGACUGGAUCAUUGAUUCUGGUUGCUCGCAUCAUAUGACUGGCAAUGAUUAUUUACUUUCAGGCGUACGAUAGCAUAAUGGAGAACGAGUAAUUGUCACAUCUGAUAAUUCAACUUACCCAGUAGUAAAAGAAGUAGUUGUGAAGAUUAAGGUUGCCGAUGUUGCAAAGAUCCAAAGUGUCUUGUUGAAUGAUGUGUAUCAUGUCCUAGGUUUGAAGAAAAAUUUAGGAGUUGUUCUCUUCAUGUUUGAGUUUUUAGUUUUGAGUUUUGAAUAUCAUUUUGGGUUUUGUGUUUUGAGAUAGAUGGGUCAAUCGAUAGGUAUAAAGAUUAUCUCAUUGCUCGUGGUUUCUUUCAAAGCUAUGGCUUGGACAACGAAGAAACCUCCAGUUUAGUAUCAAAAAUGGUGAUUGUCAGGUCAAUUUUUUCACUUGCUGCCUUUAGAAGUUGGAAGUUGUGGCAACUUGAUGUGAAGAAUGCAUUUCUUUAUGUAGAAUUAGAUCGUGAUGUCUUCAUGGAAUGACCCCAAGGGUUCAUCUCCAAACAAUUUCCGCACCACGUUUGUCGGUUGAAGAAAGCACCAUAUGGAUUGAAACAAGCACCACAUGCUUGGUAUGGUAAAAUAUCUCAAUAUCUUAUCUUUUGUGGAUUCAAAGUUUCAAAUUCAGAUUCUAGUUUGUAUGUGAAUUGUCUGUUGAUGACAUGGUAAUUACUGGAAACGAUGUAGACUAAGUCGGUAUUAAGUUGUCAAUAAAAGAGUAAUACUAGUCUUUAUUUAACAGAUCAUAUCUAAGUAUUUUUAGUAAAGUUUGUUAACUUUUAGUCUAUAAAUUCAGUUUCUGAUGGUUCUCAAUAAGAUUCUUUCAAUUCCUGUUUCGCUAAAGAAUUUUCUUGUCUUUUUUGUUAUGUUCCUAACCGCUCAGCCAGAAAAGAGGAACACAAGAGUGCUCCUGGGGCUAAGGCAGAACAUCACCGUAGGCUCCUAUAGUACGAGCAUAGAAUGUUGGCUAGUGAUAGUCCAUCUCAAGGUUGCGAGAAAGUAAGAAUCACUAAUUUCAAUCCCGUGUUUGC
rnacentral:lncRNA from 1 species